GGAACAAAAUCACAAACCUUUACUGUGCGAUCAAGGGAAGCACUAGCAAAAGUAUUGGUAUCUUUCGGGUUAAAUGUGACUUGCAUAACAUAGUGAGAAUGCCCCUCGAAGAUUUGAGUGCACAUCCAACCCUUAUCCCAAUCCCAAAGCUUGAUCAGCAUGUCAUCAGAUGAUGACAGCACAAAAGGCUGGGUUGGGUGAACAGCCACACACCUGAUGUAAUCCGUAUGAGCUUCAAAAACCUUGACCUUAUCCAUCGUAUUGUAAUUGUACACACGUAUGAACAUAUCAUCGGCACCAGCAACUAUCCAUUGUUUCCGUGCGAUAAAUUUAGAUGACCGAACUGAAAUGGGGAUGAUUAUAUUAGCAAGAUGUCACGUACCUGCGUCUGGUAGUUCCAGAUGCAGACGCUCCCUGAAUACAGACUCGACAAAAUCCAUGGCUCGGUCGGAUGCAGAUCCACGGACUUGACCCUCUCCGACCUCUGCGCGAGCUUCCUCUGAUCCAACC
rnacentral:sRNA from 1 species